AUUGAACGCUGGCGGCAGGCCUAACACAUGCAAGUCGAGCGGAUGAAGGGAGCUUGCUCCUGGAUUCAGCGGCGGACGGGUGAGUAAUGCCUAGGAAUCUGCCUGGUAGUGGGGGAUAACGUCCGGAAACGGGCGCUAAUACCGCAUACGUCCUGAGGGAGAAAGUGGGGGAUCUUCGGACCUCACGCUAUCAGAUGAGCCUAGGUCGGAUUAGCUAGUUGGUGGGGUAAAGGCCUACCAAGGCGACGAUCCGUAACUGGUCUGAGAGGAUGAUCAGUCACACGGGAACUGAGACACGGUCCAGACUCCUACGGGAGGCAGCAGUGGGGAAUAUUGGACAAUGGUCGAAAGCCCGAUCCAGCCAUGCCGCGUGUGUGAAGAAGGUCUUCGGAUUGUAAAGCACUUUAAGUUGGGAGGAAGGGCAGUAAGUUAAUACCUUGCUGUUUUGACGUUACCAACAGAAUAAGCACCGGCUAACUUCGUG
rnacentral:rRNA from 1 species